rnacentral:lncRNA from 1 species
CAUCCCCAUGUAAUAACCCCAUGUCAUUUCUCCAUGGCUGUUUUCUCUCCUCUUCUUUUUAGGGGCUCAAUGGGCUUCCAGGCCCCCCAGGACCAAUGGGGCCACGGGGUGCCCCAGGCGAGAUCAUCGAGCGGCCAGGCCAAAAGGGGGAAAGAGGAUUACCAGGAGCGGAUGGGAUCCCAGGAAGCCCUGGUCGCCCUGGCAACUCUGGCUCCCCUGGCCAGCCAGGUAGACAAGGCAUUCCUGGCCUCCGAGGGCUCCCAGGGGAGCAGGGCCCAGUGGGGCCUCCCGGGCAACGGGGAGAGAAAGGCGAACCGGGAGAUCCAGGAGUGAUUGUGAACGGAGGAGGGGGGCUGCCUGGCCGGAAAGGGGAGCCUGGGAGUCG